UACGUAGGGGGCAAGCGUUAUCCGGAUUUACUGGGUGUAAAGGGAGCGUAGGUGGCAAGGCAAGUCAGAUGUGAAAACCCGGGGCCCAACCCCGGGAGUGCAUUUGAAACUGUCUGGCUAGAGUGCAGGAGAGGUAAGUGGAAUUCCUAGUGUAGCGGUGAAAUGCGUAGAUAUAUGGAAGAACACCAGUGGCGAAAGCGGCUCUCUGGUCUGUAACUGACGCUGAGGUUCGAAAGCGUGGGUAGCAAACAGG
rnacentral:rRNA from 1 species